UGCAGUCGAGCGUCCAGCAAUGGAAGCGGCAGACGGGUGCGUAACGCGUAUGAAACUUGCCCUACACAGGAGGAUAGCCUUGGGAAACUGAGAGUAAUACUCCAUAGCAUCUCGUCACGGCAUCGUGACGAGAUUAAAGCUCCGGCGGUGUAGGAUAGUCGUGCGUCCGAUUAGCUAGUUGGUGAGGUAAUGGCUCACCAAGGCGACGAUCGGUAGCUGGUCUGAGAGGAUGAUCAGCCACACGGGCACUGAGACACGGGCCCGACUCCUACGGGAGGCAGCAGUAAGGAAUAUUGGACAAUGGACGCAAGUCUGAUCCAGCCAUCCCGCGUGGAGGAAUAAGGCCCUAUGGGUUGUAAACUUCUUUAGCAGGGGAAUAAAAAACCGAUUUAUCGGGAAUUGAAGGUACCCUGAGAAUAAGCACCGGCUAACUCCGUGCCAGCAGCCGCGGUAAUACGGAGGGUGCAAGCGUUAUCCGGAUUUACUGGGUUUAAAGGGUGCGUAGGCGGACGAUUAAGUUAGAUGUGAAAGCUUGCAGCUCAACUGUAAGAUUGCGUUUGAUACUGGUCGUCUUGAAUUUAGUAGAAGUGGGCGGAAUAAAUCAUGUAGCGGUGAAAUGCAUAGAUAUGAUUUAGAACACCGAUUGCGAAGGCAGCUCGCUAUGUUGAUAUUGACGCUGAGGCACGAAAGCGUGGGGAUCAAACAGGAUUAGAUACCCUGGUAGUCCACGCCCUAAACGAUGAAUACUCGAUAUUGGCGAUAUACAGUCAGUGUCUAAGGGAAACCGUUAAGUAUUCCACCUGGGGAGUACGUCCGCAAGGAUGAAACUCAAAGAAAUUGGCGGGGGUCCGCACAAGCGGUGGAUUAUGUGGUUUAAUUCGAUGAUACGCGAGGAACCUUACCAGGGCUAGAAUGGGAGGAGAAU
rnacentral:rRNA from 1 species